rnacentral:sRNA from 1 species
AUCCCCAGACGAUGUAGGCAAAUAGGAGGCCAGCAUCAUGUUCAUCGACGAAGUGGUUCUCGCAGGCAUCGUUACCGUAGGACUCAUGGUUCUGUUCUUCGGCGGGGUCGGAUAUUUCAUCUGGAAGGACUCGCACAAGCGCGGUUGACCUUCCAGAUACACAGAGCACGCAAGGCACUUCGGGCGACUUAGGUCGCCCGUUUUUUUU